rnacentral:rRNA from 1 species
CUACCAUGGUUUCAACGGGUAACGGGGAAUAAGGGUUCGAUUCCGGAUAGGGAGCCCGAGAAACGGCUACCACAUCCAAGGAAGGCAGCAGGCACGCAAAUUACCCAAUCCCAGCACGGGGAGGUAGUGACGAAAAAUAACAAUACGGGACUCUUAUGAGGCCCCGUAAUUGGAAUGAGAACAAUCUAAAUCCUUUAACGAGGAUCUAUUGGAGGGCAAGUCUGGUGCCAGCAGCCGCGGUAAUUCCAGCUCCAAUAGCGUAUAUUAAAGUUGUUGUGGUUAAAAAGCUCGUAGUUGGAUCUCAGUUCGAGUCAGGUGGUCCACUUGCCAGUGGCUACUGCUUGACUGAACACUUUACCGAGCUGUCCUAUGGUGCUCUUCACCGAGUGUCAUAGGCGAUCGGUACGUUUACUUUGAAAAAAUUAGAGUGCUCAAAGCAGGCCUAAGCGCCCGAAUAAUGUUGCAUGGAAUAAUGGAAUAGGACCUCGGUUCUAUUUUGUUGGUCUUCGGAAUCUGAGGUAAUGAUCAAUAGGGACAGACGGGGUCAUUCGUAUUGCGGCGCUAGAGGUGAAAUUCUUGGACCGUCGCAAGACGAACUAAAGCGAAAGCAUUUGACAAGAAUGUUUUCAUUAGUCAAGAACGAAAGUUAGAGGUUCGAAGGCGAUCAGAUACCGCCCUAGUUCUAACCAUAAACGAUGCCAACCAGUAAUUCGCCUGAGUUCCUUAAAUGACUCGGCGAGGGACUUCCGGGAAACCAAAGUCUUUCGGUUCCAGGGGAAGUAUGGUUGCAAAGCUGAAACUUAAAGAAAUUGACGGAAGGGCACCACCAGGAGUGGAGCCUGCGGCUUAAUUUGACCCAACACGGGAAAACUCACCCGGCCCGGACUCUGGAAGGAUUGACAGAUUGAGAGCUCUUUCUUGAUUCAGUGGGUGGUGGUGCAUGGCCGUUCUUAGUUGGUGGAGUGAUUUGUCUGGUUAAUUCCGAUAACGAACGAGACUCUAGCCUACUAAAUAGAUCGUCGGCUUACAAACGCCGACGAGACUUCUUAGAGGGACAGGCGGUGAUUCAACCGCACGAAACAGAGCAAUAACAGGUCUGUGAUGCCCUUAGAUGUCCGGGGCCGCACGCGCGCUACACUGAAGUGAUCAGCGUGCUUUUUCAACCUACUCUGUCGAGAGUGGGGAACCCAAUGAACCUUCUUCGUGAUUGGGAUAGGGGAUUGUAAUUAUUCCCCUUGAACGAGGAAUUCCCAGUAAGCGCGAGUCAUAAGCUCGCGUUGAUUACGUCCCUGCCCUUUGUACACACCGCCCGUCGCUACUACCGAUUGAAUGUUUUAGUGAGGUCUUCGGACUGGCCGGUGCAGCUACUCUUGUAGUGGCAGCGCUGUGUUUGGAAAGAUGCCCAAACUUGAACAUUUAGAGGAAGUAAAAGUCGUAACAAGGUU